rnacentral:rRNA from 1 species
GAGUUUGAUCAUGGCUCAGAUUGAACGCUGGCGGCAUGCCUUACACAUGCAAGUCGAACGGCAGCACGGGAGCUUGCUCCUGGGUGGCGAGUGGCGAACGGGUGAGUAAUGCAUCGGAACGUAUCCUGGAGUGGGGGAUAACGUAGCGAAAGUUACGCUAAUACCGCAUAUUCUGUGAGCAGGAAAGCGGGGGACCUUCGGGCCUCGCGCUCUUGGAGCGGCCGAUGUCGGAUUAGCUAGUUGGUGAGGUAAAGGCUCACCAAGGCGACGAUCCGUAGCAGGUCUGAGAGGAUGAUCUGCCACACUGGAACUGAGACACGGUCCAGACUCCUACGGAGGCAGCAGUGGGGAAUUUUGGACAAUGGGGGCAACCCUGAUCCAGCCAUGCCGCGUGAGUGAAGAAGGCCUCGGUU